GAAAACAAGUGUAUACCCCCGAGAGGAGAACAGGGCUACGCAUACCAUUGCGUUGAGGGAAUAGCCCUGCUCUCCUCUCUGGGGUAUAUCCUUGUUUUC
rnacentral:pre_miRNA from 1 species